GAUGAACGCUGGCGGCGUGGAUAAGGCAUGCAAGUCAAACGGCCCGCAAGGGCAGUGGCGAACGAGGUAGUAACACGUGGAUUACAUCCCCCAAAGUCAGGAAUAACUAGUCGAAAGAUUAGCUAAUACUUGAUAGUCUCUUCGGAGUAAAGAUUUAUCGCUUUGGGAAUGGUCUGCGAAGUAUCAGCUAGUUGGUAGUGUAAUGGACUACCAAGGCUAUGACGCUUAGGGGAGCUGAGAGGCUGACCCCCACCGAUGGAACUGAGAAACGGUCCAUACACCUACGGGUGGCC
rnacentral:rRNA from 1 species